AUUUAGUAUAUGUGCCUCCAGUUUUAAAACAAAUGCAAUUCGUCUGAAUUUAGGGUGAUCGGGUCUUCCAAAUUCUGUAACUCUAAUCGCCAUGUGAACACACCCUGAAACAACUAAAAUCGAUGAUGGACUAACCAUUUUGAUUGAUUUAUGAUCGGGAGUUAGGCUGUAAUAAGUAGUGUCAGUAAUUCCCUGGCAUACCCCUCCAC